rnacentral:rRNA from 1 species
GAUUUGAUCCUGGCUCAAGGACGAUCGCUAGCGCGUGCUUAACACAUGCAAGUCGAGCGGUAAGGCCCUUCGGGGUACACGAGCGGCGAACGGGUGAGUAACACGUGGGUGAUCUGCCUUGCACUCUGGGAUAAGCCUGGGAAACUGGGUCUAAUACCGGAUAUGAGCCUGGACUGCAUGGUCUGGGUUGGAAAGGUUUACUGGUGCGAGAUGGGCCCGCGGCCUAUCAGCUUGUUGGUGGGGUAACGGCCUACCAAGGCGACGACGGGUAGCCGACCUGAGAGGGUGACCGGCCACACUGGGACUGAGACACGGCCCAGACUCCUACGGGAGGCAGCAGUGGGGAAUAUUGCACAAUGGGCGAAAGCCUGAUGCAGCGACGCCGCGUGAGGGAUGACGGCCUUCGGGUUGUAAACCUCUUUUACAGGGACGAAGCGCAAGUGACGGUACCUGUAGANGAAGUGCCAGCAGCCGCGGGA